UGCAAGGAUAUCUUGCUGGUGAUCCCUGCCUGCUUGAGGUUUUCCCAAGUGUCUCCUGCUCUAGAGGGGAUCUGUGCUAUGGAUUUAUUCAUCAGAAUGAAGGUGGUUACUCAGUAUUUGAAGAAAGAAUAACAACAAAACCCCAAUCCAGGAACUGACUGAGUUGCAUCUCGUCUGGGUGAUAUCUCUGGGCAAAUUCCAUCAGAAGACAUUGGGCAGCCACACCCAGGGCCAGAAUUUUCUCAAAAUCACCAGCAGUGGGUUUUUUUUCCAGUGGUAUGCGUGCAAAAGUAAAACAUGAAGCUAGCCAUUUUUAUUUGCACUUUCCAAGUACAAAGGCUUGGACUUGGAUGUGUUGGUAGAGAAUCAGUCUAAAAAUAGACUUACCUAAUCUGACCUUGCUAUUGAGCUUGAUAUCUAAGAAUCCGUGGGAAUGAUCCCCAGGCCUGAAGUUAUUGCCUGUUGUGAUUUGAGCUGUUUCCCUGUCUGAGGGUAGUACCGCAUUGUUCUCUUAAAGGUUGUAUGAGUCACAACUGAUGUGAGUUGCUUUAUCACUCUAAUUAGUCUAGAGAUUGAAAAAAGGAAAAGUAUAUGCAAAAGGUCAAAGGCAAAACACAUUAGUAGUCCUUGUAAACUUGCGAGGCGCUCUAUAUGAUUUUCUGUUUGAGAAAUAAAACACUCCUAACUCCUUUCAUCUAGGCUGCAACGUUGAAAUGUCUCUUCCAUGUGUCAGUGGUGUAAUCUACAUAAUGAACAAAGCCUCACAGAUGGAAUGGCUGAUGCAACGGACAUUCUUUUUGUAAAUUGCCCCUCGCUUUUAUCAUUUUCUUGGUUUCCCACAAGAGUAUGGACAAUUACUGAACUUACUUCCUAUACUGCAUAACUUUUAAAAGCGCUACAAUUCAAUGAGGUGAGAUUUUUGUUCCAGAAUAAUCAGUGGUACAAAAUAGCUGAAGGAAAAGAAGGCAAUCAUUAAAAAGAAGGGGAAGAAGAAAAAAUACUUUAGAAUGGGUAGCUUAA